rnacentral:misc_RNA from 1 species
CUGAAUGCUUGUGCUGGUGAAGCUGGAAUGCUGCGUGAAUGGGGAAAUGGAGGUCCAAUUGGUGUUAGUAGUUUGAUAAAUGAUCCUGAGAAUACUAAUUUUUCAGAAGUCAUGACAGAACUUGGAAUAAACCGAAUGGAAAAUUUUUCCUUGAAUGGUACUCAGGGAUGUUGCUGCUUCAUGGGCAAAGGAUAUGUAUGGAUGUUGAGAACAUUUUUCGGGGUAUUGACAUUAAUACCUCUGCCAAAGUGGCUGUGAUACACUGGCAUUAUGGCACACAGUCUCAUCCAUCUGAGUUAACAGCUGGCUACUACAAUACUUCCACCAGAGAUGGGUACCUACCAAUUGCUCAGAUGUUCAGUAGGUAUCGGUUCACCAUGUGCUGUGCAGGUUUUGAAAUGCAAGAUGUGGAAGAGAAUCCUCUGAACCAAGUAAGUAGUCCAGGGGGUUUUCUUAAAAAGCUUUUAUGGGCUGCUAGGAUUUGUCGUGUCCCCUUGGAAGGCGAAAAUUCAACUGCUAUUUGGGAUGAUAAAUCGUUUCAACAGGUGCUAAAAAUGAGAAGGUUCUACUCGUAUGGUCUGAAAAGACCCUCCUUUUCUUUCAACUUUGUGAGGAUGGAAAAGAACAUGUUUGAACAACAUAACUGGGUUCGAUUUAGUAAUUUUGUAAGGAAAAUGUCAGAUGAUA